AUUGCCUCAGUAACGGCGAGUGAAGCGGCAACAGCUCAAAUUUGAAAUCUGGCGUCUUUGGCGUCCGAGUUGUAAUUUGUAGAGGAUGUUUCGGGCACCGCCUCGGUUUAAAUUUCUUGGAACAGAAUGUCAGAGAGGGUGAGAAUCCCGUCUUGAACCGGUGGUAGGGCUCAUGUGAAACUCCUUCGACGAGUCGAGUUGUUUGGGAAUGCAGCUCAAAAUGGGUGGUAAAUUUCAUCUAAAGCUAAAUAUUGGCCAGAGACCGAUAGCGCACAAGUAGAGUGAUCGAAAGAUGAAAAGCACUUUGAAAAGAGAGUUAAACAGUAUGUGAAAUUGUUGAAAGGGAAGCGCUUACAACCAGACUUGCGCGCGACGGUUCCCCCUGGCUUCUGCCUGGGUUACUCCGUCGCGUCCAGGCCAACAUCGGUUUCGGUGGUUGGUGAAAGGCUUGGGGAAUGUACCUUUGGGUUCGCCCAAAGACUUAUAGCCCCAGGUGACAUGCGGCCUACCGAGACCGAGGAACGCGCUCCGGCGAGGAUGUUGGCGUAAUGGUUGUCAGCGACCCGUCUG
rnacentral:rRNA from 1 species